UACGGGGGGGGGCAAGCGUUGUUCGGAAUUACUGGGCGUAAAGGGCGCGUAGGCGGUCUGUUAAGUCACACGUGAAAUCCCUCGGCUCAACCGGGGAACUGCGUGUGAUACUGGCGGGCUUGAAUUCGGGAGAGGGGAUGUGGAAUUCCAGGUGUCAGUGCGGUGAAAUGCGUAGAUAUCUGGAGGAACACCGGUGGCGAAGGCGGGUCUCUGGGCAACAACUGACGCUGAGGAGCGAAAGCGUGGGGAGCGAACAGGAUUGAGAUACCCCCUGUA
rnacentral:rRNA from 1 species